rnacentral:snoRNA from 11 species
CAGGUAAUGUGGCUGAAAACUUAAUAUUGGCUGACUCUCUGUGAUGAAUAACCAAUCACCAUCUUUCGGCUGACUGCCUG